UACGGAGGAUCCAAGCGUUGUCCGGAAUUAUUGGGCGUAAAGAGCUCGUAGGCGGUUUGUUGCGUCGGCUGUGGAAUCCCGAGGCUCAACCUCGGGUCUGCAGUCGAUACGAGCAAACUAGAGUGUUGCAGGGGAGACUGGAAUUCCUGGUGUAGCGGUGAAAUGCGCAGAUAUCAGGGAGGAACACCGGUGGCGAAGGCGGGUCUCUGGGCAACAACUGACGCUGGAGGAGCGAAAGCGUGGGGAGCGAACAGG
rnacentral:rRNA from 1 species